AACCCGCCCAGACUCCUACGGGAGGCAGCAGUGGGGAAUUUUGGACAAUGGGCGAAAGCCUGAUCCAGCCAUGCCGCGUGAAUGAAGAAGGCCUUCGGGUUGUAAAGUUCUUUUAGUUGGAAAGAAAAAAUUAUGAUGAAUAAUCAUAAUUCAUGACGGUACCGACAGAAAAAGCACCGGCUAACUACGUGCCAGCAGCCGCGGUAAUACGUAGGGUGCAAGCGUUAAUCGGAAUUACUGGGCGUAAAGGGUGUGCAGGCGGCCUUGUAAGUCAGAUGUGAAAGCCCCGGGCUUAACCUGGGAAUUGCGUUUGAAAC
rnacentral:rRNA from 1 species